UCAACAUGAGAUUUGGAGGGGACAAACAUCCAAACCAUAUCCGAUGGCGACAAAAGAUGUACAGAGAGCAGAUGAACCUCACCUCCCUGGAACCCCCACUGCAGCUCCGACUCGAGGCCAGCUGGGUCCAGUUCCACCUGGGUAUUAACCGCCGUGGGCUCUACUCCCGGUCCAGUCCUGUUGUCAGCAAACUUCUGCAAGAUAUGAGGCACUUUCCCACCAUCAGUGCUGAUUACAGUCAAGAUGAGAAAGCCUUGCUGGGGGCGUGUGACUGCACCCAGAUUGUGAAACCCAGUGGGGUCCACCUCAAGCUGGUGCUGAGGUUCUCGGAUUUCGGGAAGGCCAUGUUCAAACCCAUGAGACAGCAGCGAGAUGAGGAGACGCCCGUGGACUUCUUCUACUUCAUUGACUUUCAGAGACACAAUGCUGAGAUCGCAGCUUUCCAUCUGGACAGGAUUCUGGACUUCCGACGGGUGCCGCCAACAGCGGGGAGGAUAGUGAAUGUCACCAAGGAAAUCCUAGAGGUCACCAAGAAUGAAAUCCUGCAGAGUGUUUUCUUUGUCUCUCCAGCGAGCAACGUGUGCUUCUUCGCCAAGUGUCCAUACAUGUGCAAGACGGAGUAUGCUGUCUGUGGCAACCCACACCUGCUGGAGGGUUCCCUCUCUGCCUUCCUGCCAUCCCUUAACCUGGCCCCCAGGCUGUCUGUGCCCAACCCCUGGAUCCGCUCCUACACACUGGCAGGAAAAGAGGACCCCAGGACUUCUUCUCCCCCUCAGGUGGGAGGUCAAUCCCCUUUACUGUGACACAGUGAAACAGAUCUACCC
rnacentral:sRNA from 1 species